rnacentral:rRNA from 1 species
GACGAACGCUGGCGGCGUGCCUAAUACAUGCAAGUAGAACGCUGAAGAGAGGAGCUUGCUCUUCUUGGAUGAGUUGCGAACGGGUGAGUAACGCGUAGGUAACCUGCCUUGUAGCGGGGGAUAACUAUUGGAAACGAUAGCUAAUACCGCAUAACAAUGGAUGACACAUGUCAUUUAUUUGAAAGGGGCAAUUGCUCCACUACAAGAUGGACCUGCGUUGUAUUAGCUAGUAGGUGAGGUAAUGGCUCACCUAGGCGACGAUACAUAGCCGACCUGAGAGGGUGAUCGGCCACACUGGGACUGAGACACGGCCCAGACUCCUACGGGAGGCAGCAGUAGGGAAUCUUCGGCAAUGGGGGCAACCCUGACCGAGCAACGCCGCGUGAGUGAAGAAGGUUUUCGGAUCGUAAAGCUCUGUUGUAAGUCAAGAACGGGUGUGAGAGUGGAAAGUUCACACUGUGACGGUAGCUUACCAGAAAGGGACGGCCAACUACGUG